AGGCUCAAAGUGUCAAGAACUGGUUUAUUAUAAAGGAGGUGGAAGGGAGAGAAAUUUCUCCAAAGUCAUAUAACAGAAGCACAUACACUGACAGCUGAGAGGAAUAGGAACUGUAUUUCAUGAAACCUUCAACUACAUGUUGAAGCUCUGACAUUGUAAUGGGCAGAAGGAAUAAC